CUCAUAAUCGUUAAAAAUCAUAUAAAUAAAAUUCUCUUUUUAAGUUAAAGAGAGCUGCAAAAUAAUUUUUUGUUAAAUGUCUCUUGAGUCCGCUUCAUUCCCUUAUGUAGAUAUCGUUGCGAGUCUUGUGCCAAUUGACAGAAACAAAGUCAGACUGAUAAACAAGUGAAGUAUUAAAAAAGAAUAAAAAGAUCUCCUUCGAUCCAUUUAGACAAAACGAGAGUAUCGUAACUUACGUACUUACAAAACUGUGCAAUUUUACAAGAAACGUUUUUAUAAAAUUCUAAAAUAUUACAAAAUAUUAUGAUAAAAUCAGGUAAGGUACUUUUUAUGAAAAUAACGGUCAAUUUCGCAUAUUAAUACGAAGCAAUGAAACGUUUAGUUUCACAACAAAGGAAAAACUGUGUAAAAAUAUAGAACGUUUCAUUACGAACCAAAUAUGGAGGAAAAUAACCCGAAAGAACAAAAACCGGUUUCCAUGUAGCGCGGUAAACGAUUGUCAUAUAAAUUAUGGAAAAAGAUAAUUUACAAUUCUGUCCCAUUUAUUUUCGUUGGGGUACGAAAGUUCCCUAAAUCAUUUCGCGCAGCGUUGUUAAUUACCUGGAGGCACCUUCGUAAAUAUAACUGAACAUCUCCCGUGGGUUAAUUGGCGCAACCGUUCCCAAAGGUACGUUAAAAAAAUCGUUAUUUCGGAGUAAACCUCUCAGCGUGGCCACGCCGAAUUUUUAACAUUGAUUUGCAUUCAUAGCGAGGCGCAUAGCCAUUAACCGAGGCAAUUUCAUGGAAUUUAACCUUCAAUCAUAACUUCAUUAACUAGCUGCGGGGAGAAUCGUCGCAUUGCAGCUUACGUAAGGGUGAAGCACUCUCGGUGCCCCUCUUGCAUACCAUUUGUAUAGCUUAUAACAGGUUCAGAUAGCGACGAGUGUGUACUGAAGCGUUGAAUGUUCCCCCUACUCUCUGUGUCCCGUUUUUUAAGUGGCCGAUUUGCCCCCAAACGAGCUUAAAACGAGAGCGAAAGAAAAAGGAAACGAGAGAAAUCGUCAUUGCUAUGGAGCAAAUAUUGCGACACCGUUCCGGUAUACGUCCUCCGUUCCCGUAAGAAGAAUUUACAUGUGUAAAAACGUGAGAAAAGAAGCUUUAAAAAGGGAGAAAGUGAAAACAGACAGCAGAGAACCGCUGAAGUGCUUCUCAACGUGUUAAUGGUUAUAGAUCGUUACUGAAAGAGUUAUUGUGCCAUCCACAGGAGAGAAAUUGCCUGAAAAAGAAACAUUAACAUCACGAUUGUCUGGCUGACACCUGAACACCGAUAAAUGUCGAGUGGAAAGCUUUAAACGCGUUAUCUUUUCUUCACAAAACAAAAGUUAUACUUCAUCUAGUGUCAUUAUUCCAGUUAAAGCUGAUAUAAUCUCAUAUCGUCGAACAGUGACAAUCGCCACUCAUUGAACAAUCGAUUCAAAUAUAUGAUUUGUAAACAAUGCAAAAUGAAAUUAAUACUCAUCGGUCACACUUCGAUACGUUAAAGUGACAAGUGAAAUAGGUUAUGAAACCUAAGAACACAUAGACAUUUGACAUAAAAAAAACUCGAUACUUUCAUAACUCUCGAUAAGAUACUUAAUGUAAUGAAUUAUUAAAAUAUUCAAUUGCAACAGUUUAACUUUAAAGUUAUUUUAUACAACAACAAUCCCGAUUCAUGGUCAAAUCUUUAUAUAACUUCAAUUUCUGCGUUAAUAUUGUAAAACAUUAUUCCAAAGAAUCAUCUAAAACUAUGCCAGUAGAACGUGAAACAGCUCGCAGGCAUACGAUUGCCGCUAUUGUAAAUUUAAGCCAGAGUCGGUGAAUUUAAUAGCGAAUUGCAGAUUGGUUUGUCCCAUAAUCUCAUGGAGUAAUGCAGCGAAUCGCAAUUUGACCAGUGGAAGGCGAACAAUCCACACCGAUUCUAGGUAAAUUGGUGUACGGUUCGUCCUCUAGCAUGUAGGAGCAACGCAACGUCAGGGUGAUACAGACAUGUAGACAUAUGGUGGUGAUCAACCAACUGAGCGAGAGUGUAAAUUUCCGCCUGUAGUACACCUCGAGCGUUUCAAAGCGAUCGGUUCGAACCGGUCAUUGUUUCUUGAGCAAUGUGCAGCAGAACGGGCAAACAGACACACGCCACUUGCCAGGUUAGAGAUAAUAAAAUUUCUUUCGAGAUACAUUUGCAUGAAGGUGCUAAAGAGCGAUCGACUGGUUAUUCUGCCCAACAUCGUUCAACGACAGGCUGUAACGGGUGUGGAUGAUAGCUCAUAUUUUAUCGAAAAUGUGACAGUUCGUCGAUACUGAUUUCCAAAGUGAAAAAAGAAAUUAAAUUAACGAUACCGAGCCGUCCUCAUAAAUAACAGGAUUAUAAAUAAAUCGGAGAGAACUUUGAUAAUAAAUAACAUUCGACAGGAGGAUAAAAAGCGACGCGAACAAUUACAUGAAAAAUUGUACGACAUUUUUCACCUGGUCCUUGGGUAAAUAAUAUUUCUGUCAUGCGUCUACGAACGUUGAAUGAAGAAACCGGAAUAUUGGAAGUACAGUAGUUUAGUCACCCCUAUUUUCCACGCAAUUCGGGGAGACCUUUCACGAUUUUAUAUUUCUUCGAUGCAGGGAACAAGUUUUUCAAUAAACCUCUCCAGGUGGACCAUACUUUUGAUGCAAUCAGAGAUACUCUUCCAAGUUAUGAUUCCCAGACUAGU